UACAUAACCGCAACCACCGACUGUGAUGUUAAGUGUAGUCGGUGGUUGCGGUUGUGUGGA
rnacentral:precursor_RNA from 1 species